UCUGCAAGUAAAGUGGCCUAACUUUAUAAGAAAGUUGACUUCAAAAAGAAAAUUUAGGAGAUUCCCAAGCCUUCCACUUCUGCUUCAUUCUUUCUAGAUCAUGAAUAUCCACCUAAGAUUCAUUUCUCCUCAUGAAGGCAGUAUCCAGAGACAAGAAUUUAAAAUGAGACAUCCCAGGCUUGAGAGAUGGCUCAGUGGUGAAGGACACUGCUGUUCUUCCAGAGGAGCCAGGGUCAAUUAUUCUCAGCACUUACAUGAAACAGCAGCUUACAACUGUCUGUAACUCCAGUUCCCGGGAACCCAUCUCCAUGUUGAAAGUCUGAAAUACUGAAGUCACGGUCUCUAAUACAGACAUUUUAAAGAAAGGAACUUGAAAGUUGAAUGGUUGCCAAGUCUCAUCUAGAAAGAAACAGCUGGGAUCAGCAGGAAGAACCAGAAAUCUGUAAGCCGGUCCUAAGAUUCACAUACAAUCCAGUAGAACAAAUAACCAAAACAACCUUAAAAGAAGAGAUUAAAGUGAGAAGAGAAAUUCUCAAUUCCAAGCCAUCCCUCUUUCCAGGUCUAUAAAGUUGACAACCAAGAUUAGCCACCCCAAGGGCUGACUGUGAUCAAAUCGCAUUCUGUGUAUGCGUGGAAGCUCUCAGUGAAACUCCCUACGCUCUUCCUGUGCCCAGGUAACAUGUACUGAGAAAUGUGCAGGUAAAAUCCGUGGAGAAAGAGAAAAGAAGAGGAAGAAAAUGCAUGCUUGGGUACCCUCUGAGACCCGGAGCCUCUCUAUGCUGUGCGCUCAAGAUCAUUUGAGCGAAGGUAGCUUCCACACCUGAGGUCACAUUGUAGCUGUGUGACCAACUUUUUCCUUUUGCUUCAGUCUGGGACCCUAGCCCACUGAGAACACCACUCAUGCUUCAGGUGAGUCUUCCCUCUUUGGUUAGCCCUUCCUGGAAAUACCCUUAUGGGCAUACCCAGCGAUGUGCUUCUGUGGUUAUUCUAACUCCAGGCAAAUUGACAUUGGAGAUUAACCGUGUGCAGACAGGCUUCUUCCUCUUCCUGUUUUGUGUGGCAGAGACUUCUCUCAAUGCUGCCUGACACCUGAUAGAUGCUGAAUGUAGGGGAGAUUGGAUUGAAGGUGCCCUGCCCACCCCUUCCUUCCCUCAGCCAAGAACACUCGAGAGUUAAGGAUGCACUUUGAAAGGAGUUUUUAAUUUUUCCUUAGUAAUCUGGAGAAAAGAGCUCGAGGAUCCAGUUUGAGCCCUGGUCUUGGCUUUGACCAGAGGAAAAGCCCUCUCUGCCCCUGGUUGGCAGCAGAUUGGUGAACCAGCAGGCAUGCCAGACACGUUUCUUCUGUAGAGUGAUGUGCCGUGCAGUGUUCAUACGCUGCAUGUUGGUAUAGAAGAUCGCUGACACCAGAGCUCGGAAACUUGAACAAAACCUCUUCCCAUGACUCUCUGUAGAAAUAACUUGUUCUCACCUGGCAUCCCAUCAGCUCUUCUGACAUCUCUGUUCAGUAUACUCUUGUGCUUUGGUUUCUAUUUUGUGAAGCAGACCUUUUCCCCUGUAACUCCACGAGGAACCUGAGGUCCUGGAAGCCUCGGGUCCGGGGAACCACAGACCCUGUCAUCUGUGCCCUGUUCAGCCUUUUGCCACCACUCUCUGCUGACUGUGUGUUCUCAUGAUCACAUGGGGUACCCUGUCUAGCUGAGGUCCUCUCACUCCCAGGAGCACAUCUAACUUUAAAAAGAUAAGAAAGAUAGAGGCUCCAGCAAAAGGAAGAUCAACGGCUAACGGCUGGUACUGCUCUUGAAAAAGACCCAGAGCUCAGUUCCCAGCACCACAGCUAACAACUACCUGGAAUUCAAUGCAAAGUGAGUCUUUGUGUUGUGAUGUCUCCAGCCUCUGAGGACUCCUGCACCCACAGGCACAUAACCACAUAGGAACACAGAAACCUAUACAUAACUAAAAACAAAAUAGAUCUAAAC